rnacentral:rRNA from 1 species
AUGAGGCUGGCGGCUGUUAUUGAUAGGAUCAUCUCGCCUGCUCAGACGACCUUCCAAAGACGAAAAUGCAUCCACGACAGCUACUUAUACGUUCAGAAUUCCGCCCGAGCUCUUCAUAGGAACAAAACUCCGGCGCUACUGCUUAAGUUAGAUAUAGCUAGGGCUUUUGAUAGCAUAUCAUGGGAUUACCUAAUUGAAUUGCUGCAGAGACUUGGAUUCUCGGCUGGGUGGAGAGAUUGGAUCGCUCUACUACUCUCUUCCUCAUCCUCGUCCUGCAUUAUCAAUGGUGAUCCGGGAGACUUCGUCAUUCAUCUGUGUGGACUCCGGCAAGGGGACCCCUCUCGCCGCUGCUCUUUAUCCUUUGCAUUGACCCCUUACAUCGCCUCCUGGAGGCGGCCACUAGGGUGGGUGUGCUGA